rnacentral:rRNA from 1 species
CGGACGGGUGAGUAACGCGUGGGUAACCUGCCUCACACUGGGGGAUAACAGUUAGAAAUGACUGCUAAUACCGCAUAAGCGCACAGUACCGCAUGGUACGGUGUGAAAAACUCCGGUGGUGUGAGAUGGAUCCGCGUCUGAUUAGCCAGUUGGCGGGGUAACGGCCCACCAAAGCGACGAUCAGUAGCCGACCUGAGAGGGUGACCGGCCACAUUGGGACUGAGACACGGCCCAA